rnacentral:rRNA from 1 species
UCGAGAAUCUUCCGCAAUGGACGCAAGUCUGACGGAGCGACACCGCGUGAUCGAUGAAGUGCUUCGGUAUGUAAAGAUCUUUUAUGAGGGAAGAAGUUUAUUGACGGUACCUCAUGAAUAAGGGCCUGCAAAACUCGUGCCAGCAGCAGCGGUAAUACGAGUGGCCCAAGCGUUAUCCGGAAUUAUUGGGCGUAAAGGAUGUGUAGGUGGUUAUGUUAGUCGGGUGUCUAACCUCUGAGCUUAACUUGGAGACAGCAUUCGAAACGGCAUGACUAGAGUAUAGUAGGGGUAAGCGGAACUCAUAGUGUAGGGGUGAAAUCCGUUGAUAUUAUGGGGAACACCAAAAGCGAAGGCAGCUUACUGGACUAUUACUGACACUGAAACAUGAAAGCGUGGGUAGCGAAUGGGAUUAGAUACCCGUGUAGUCC